AUGUGGCGGAGGAGAGGAGGAAGAGGAUGAUGAGAAUCAUGAGAAGAGAGGUGUAGGUGGAGAGGAGAAGAGGGAGAGGAGAAGGAUUGGGAGGAGUGGGAGAGAGGAGGAAGAGGAGGAGGAGUGGAAGAGAGGAAGAAGAGGAGGAGGAGUGGGAGAGAGGAAGAAGAGGGGGAGGCGUGUGAGAGAGGAAGAAGAGGAGGAGGAAUGGGAGGAGUGGGAGAGAGGAAGAAGAGGAGGAGGAUCUGUCUCGCUCACAGACAGUGGUGAAUGACAGCCCGUUCCUUCUUUUUUAUGGGCUGUUGGGAGUUAUUAAUUUGAGAAUGGCACUGCAGAGCAAUACGAUGGUAAUUUACCGCGUGGGUGCCUAAGUGAUGAGUUUGGGGAGAAAGAGAUUCACAGACUGAAGUAAUCAGAAGAACCUUGAAAAAGACAGAUGAGGUGGUUGACCGAGCAGUUAGGCGUCAUUACAAGUGAAAUCAAUUUUAAUGACGCAUAACUUCUCGGCCGUGAGGUCAAUAUGGUUUAAAGUCAAAAACAUCAACACAGAUGAAAAGGUAUAAAGGCACGCACAGACUCUCUCUCACUCUCUCACACACACACACACACACACACACACACACACACACACACACACACACAUGCAGACACACACACACACACACACACACACACACACACACACACACACACACACACACACACACACACACACACACACACACACACAGUGGCGGCUGGUGGUUUUUAAAGUGAGGAAGGAAGGACUGCACGCUUGGUUGCCAUUGGCCUGCUUGCACUGUUGGUGUAUGUUGGCAUAAGAAUGUGAGACUCAAGUUUUUUUAGGGUGUUUUGGUGAACUACAAAAUAGUAGGGAGGGAUAGUGAUUUUUUUUUUUUAUGUGAAUAAAAAAAUAAAAUGGAUACAAAGCCACCAGUUUUAUCACUGUAAUCUGAAAGCUGGUGGGCAGCGUAUCUUUGAAAUGGACAACAAGGGCAGAAGGAAAGGAUGGAAAGCCCAUUAGUCAAAUCAGGCCUGCUCUUGAUUUGUAAAAGUAAAUAAAAAAAUCGGGGCCUAUUUUUGCCCUCAAUGGCUGAGGUUAUUGGAUGUAAUUUAGCUAUGUUUAUUUUCAGUUACAAUUGUUUUAAGAAAAGACUCAAGACCAAAAGUGAUGCCAUUUAAUAUGCAUCAUGCUCUGAAUCAUUCACCCUUUCCACACCCUUUCCACAAUAUCCAACAGAACGGUCAGAGUAACUAGUAAAAGAACAAGAACAUUAUUUCAAACAACCUGGGGCCGUAUUCACAAAGGAUCUUAGGGCUAAAAGUAGGUCCUAACUGGCGAAUUUAGGAGUAACUCCUAAAAAUAAUGGGUGUGUCACUCUUAAAUUUAGGACUCCUAACUUUUUUCACUAAGAGCAAUUCACAAAGUAUUUUAGGCCUAAAAGUAGCACCGAAGUCUAGGAGAGCUUAAAAGUCCUCAAGAGGACUCCUAACUCAGUAAGACCUAUUCACAAAGAAUCGUAAAAUGCCUGCGAGACGAAAUGUUAGGGUAUUAAACUUGUUGUGGAGUAGUGUGCGAUGCAAUAACAUCCCCGACUAACAGGAAUAAUCCGAUUCGUCCCGAAAUAAAAUGUUUGGCCACACUACGUUAUUUAGCAACAGGGGAAAUGCAACUUUGCAAUGCAGACGAUUUAAAAAAAUCGCAACCAUCAGUCAGCCGUGCCAUAAACUUUCCUUUGGACAUUCAACAAUUACACAGGAUCAAAGCCAACUUCAUGGCACUUGCAGGUAUGCCCGGUGUGGUCGGUGCUAUUGACGGGACGCACAUAAAAAUAAUUGCGCCAUCAAAAGACGAGGACGUGUUCGUCAAUAGGAAGAAAGUGCAUUCCAUCAACACGCAGGUUGUUUUUGAUGCAAAUUUUAACAUGGCCUACUGGAUGUUGUUGCAAAGUGGCCUGGAGCUUCAGCUACCCAUGAUCCGCGCAUUUUAAUGGUGUGCGGUCUGAGGCAGCUUUUUGAGAUGUACCAGUUGGGUGUCACUUGCUGGGUGACAGUGAUUAUCCAUGCAAGAAGUGGCUCUAGACACCGUGGCUCUAGACACCCUACCUCAAUCCACAACCGGUCGUGUAUGUUUGUGUGCUCUAGCAUAUAUGGAAGAAAUCAGUAAACGAUAAUAAAUAUGGAUUCAACAAAUAAAAGGCAUCAAAGAGCCAAUACGAUGUGUUUUACGCAUAGGACUAAGUGUAAUCUGCGUAAUCACUUACAUGUUAUACUUUAAUGUUGUGGAGAGAGGAAUUGGGCAGAUGAAACGUCGGUUUCAUGUCCUCCACGGCGAAAUACGCCUCACCCCAGAUAGGGCAAGCACAGUAAUCAUUGAAUGUGCCAUUCUACACAACCUCUGCAAGCGGAGGAACAUUCCACAACCAGACGAUGAUGAUGAUGAUGAUGAUGAUGAUGAUGGCGAUCAACAUGACAAGGAAUUUGGCCGUGUGGUACCGAGUGGACAGGCAUUUAGGGAUCACUUUGAAAACACAUUUUAGGUAAACACCUUGGCACAAAUCAGUCAACACUUAGGCAGUUCAUAACAUUUAUUUUCUUUUAAAUUUUACGUAUUUUUACUGUUUGCUUUCUCUCUCUCUUGAACGUGCAGGCUACAACGUCAUUAUCGUGGUCUGCACAAAAUUGUCAUCAUGCGUGUAUUCUGCUAACUGCACUAUAACUACUUAAUAGGAAUUCAUUUCUAGCCUAGGCUAUUUCCUUGUUUUUCGGUGAUUCAGUGGGCUCGUCUGAACAACCAAUCACCGAACUGACCGCUUCUAAACUCGUGCACGAGAAUUGACGUAAUCCAUAGCAACGGCGCGUCACUCUUAGUUCACUCUUUGUGAUUUAUCCUUAGUAAGAGUAGGUCUCAGCGGCUUUGUGAAUAACUUUUAAGAAAAAACUCCUACGUAAAAUGUUUUAGCGCGAGUUAGGAGCACUCCUAGCGGUAAGAUAAGAUGCUUUGUGAACACGGCCCCUGAUCUAUAGGCAUGGUGGCUUGCAAGGAAAGUCGCAUAGCAGCACCAACGUGAACUUGACACUUCACAUCAGUGAAACCAUGAACAGCCCACGUUGGAGAUUUGCCAUUAUUCAUUAGCAAACAGGGCCAGCAAUACAGUCGAUUGCUAGUAAUGCUACCAGUAAGCCAUGAGUAUAUAGCAAACCAUGUAGCACCCACAACACUGACGUUGCCAUUUCUUUUGGUGAUCUCGAUUUUGCGAAGUGGUCUAGCUGUUUCUUUGGUCGCUAACUUAGCACUGUAACUCAAUGAAUGGAAUGCUUUGUAAUUAAACAUGAACAAUGCCCUCUGUUUCCAAUGUUUCCAUUGUACACUUUAUUCGCAAAUGUUAGAAUCUCGUUAUCCUUCAGAUGAUUUCACCUGCUUUGCGAAGGUCACACCCACUCAGAGCAGGACUUCCCUCCUCUCUCCCAUUGAAACCCAUGUUAUUCACCGGCCCGCCAGUACUUUCGGGGAAAUGAAUGGGAGUCAACGGAGGCUGAGGGAGGACCUUCCUCCCUGAAGUAAUUGUCAAUAGGCGAUAGGGGGUGCUAAUGUCCCUUCACCCAGGGAAACAAACAUUAUUUAUUCAAAGGCAUUGAACUACUCAUAUUUAAGGGCAUUAAUUCAUUACAGUAGUCUGGGCAAUCUACAUUUUUUAUUCUCAACAAUGUUAGGGAGUAUCUUCCUCCCUCUCCUCAAUGGAGAAGCCUCCACUGACACACACACACACACACACACACACACACACACACACACACACACACACACACACACACACACACACACACACACACACACACACACACACAUACACACACACACACACACACACACACACACACACACACACACACACACACACACACACACACACACACACACACACAAACACACAUAA